AUGCAGGAAUCCCUAAUCAGAUGGCUGCAAGACUCCCCUCCAGCAGGCUGGAUUGAGGCUGUGUUCCCUUGGGCAUGGGCUAAACCCUGUUGGGCUCCUUCAGUUGGGGCAGGGUUGGUAUUGGAGUCUGUGUUUGGCCAGGGCUGCAGGUAUGGGUCUGAUUUCAGCAUGGUGAAGGUGGGGAGAGGUGGAUGUACUGGGGGAGGUGGAUGCAGGGAUUCUGGGGGUGUUCAGCUUUUGUCCUGGCUUUUUUAUUUCUUGCAGCCUCUUAAAGGGCUUUCUAAAUCUCCUCCCUCUCAAACCAUCCAUUUCUUUCAUCGGCUUUGAUAUUGUAAACACAAUUUUAUGGGUUUUCUUUUUAAGGAGGUUGGAUUUUAUCUUUCGUGUCUCCUUCAUUGAGUCCUUUUCAGAGGCCUCCUUUUCUGUUUCUGAAAACCUUUUCUCUGCUUCCCCCCCAGCCUGCUGCCCCAGCAGGUAGGGUUUGAUGUUUGCCCUCAGGCAUUGUUAUCCUCGACCUUCUUGUGUUGACAACACAAGUCCAGACACCUGAAAGCUGUUGUGUAUUGAUCCUGCCGGGUCCUCCUCAGUACUGGGCGCUGCCGAAGGAGGCCUCACAGAACUGGAGCUUGGGCAGUUGGCCCAGACUCUGCCUAAUAGGGCUUUGCUUUUUCUUUUUGGUAAAACAUACAGAUUUCCUAAGUUUCUCUUCUCUUAACUUGGCAUUUAAAAUCCAGGAGAGUCUGACGUUGAAUGAGUUUUCUAGCACUGCCUCCCACAAACCCUCCUUAAGGUCCAUGUGCCUUGGGAUCUUCAUGCUCCUUCAUAUUUUAUUUCUUCUUAUUAAAAAAUUGAUCUAUUUAUAUAUUGCUUGGUUGAUUGGUUGAGGUAUAUCCCAAUUCUUUUGCUUACCUUUUCCAUAUUCCUCAUGUCGAAAUCCUGUUCAUUCCACAAAUGUCACCUCUCCCAGGGAGUCCUCCCUGCUUUUCCUAAUUAGCACUAGUCAUUCCUUCUGGGAUCCAGGGCUCUUCGCUUCUCUCUCUAUGGGACUAAUUACUGCCCUGGGUCUGUGCUUCUGCUCAUCUCUCCCACCAGGUUUUGAGUGCCAUCUCCUUGUUGACAAGGGCUGUAUCGUGUUUAUCUGUCUCCAGCAUGACAAGCCCUGGCGCAC
rnacentral:lncRNA from 1 species